UACAGAGGGGGCAAGCGUUGUUCGGAAUUACUGGGCGUAAAGGGCGCGUAGGCGGCCCGCUAAGUCGAACGUGAAAUCCCCGAGCUCAACUCGGGAACUGCGUCCGAUACUGGCGGGCUUGAAUCCGGGAGAGGGAUGCGGAAUUCCAGGUGUAGCGGUGAAAUGCGUAGAUAUCUGGAGGAACACCGGUGGCGAAGGCGGCAUCCUGGACCGGCAUUGACGCUGAGGAGCGAAAGCUAGGGGAGCAAACGGG
rnacentral:rRNA from 1 species